AUGCUGGUCUAAGUAUGUCUCUGUAAGAAUGAAGACGGGACUGGGGAGACAUCUCAGAUAGUGAACGGCUUUUCAUACAAGCAGAAGACCUGAGUUUAAUUCUCUGAACUCCUGUAAACAGUGGCAUCAUUGCUGUACUUGUAAUCCCAGUGCUGGAAAGGCUGAGACUUGUGGACCAAUGGGACUCCCUGGACAGUCACCCUGACACCUCAGAAGGAAGCGAAGACAGAAAGUGAGGCCAGGAAAGGGGGAAGCCAGACAGCUGAUGGGUUCUUGGGAAGAGCUGUGUGGGAAGGGAGGGGCCCGCCUCCUGGGCAGUGGAAGAUGAAGCUCCUGCGGAAAGGCAUCAUGGGAAAUUCCACUCUGUAAUGAGGAAAGCAUCCAUGCGAAGUCAUCCUUCUGGGGACAUUUUGUGGGAUAGCUGCUUUCUCUGCAUCGAGCUAACUGUGUGCGCUGUCAGCACGCACUCUCCAGCUCUUUGAUUGCUGCUCCCCAGUAUCUCUCAGCAUCCAAGGAGCCUUUAUAACCACAAUGAGGCUUUAGAACCACUUACCAAAUGUAAUAGAGGACAUAAAGGAGUAGUUGUAAAGAUGUCGCGGGACCUCCAUCAUCUAGGAGGGAAGACAGCUGGGUCACUGAAAUCAGAGGGCACCUGAAGAACCUAAUGCCCAC
rnacentral:lncRNA from 1 species